AAGCCGUAACAAGGUUUCCGUAGGUGAACCUGCGGAAGGAUCAUUCAUAAUAAGUGUUUUAUGGCACUUUUUAAAUCCAUAUCCACCUUGUGUGCAAUGUCGGUCGAUCUUCUUCAUGGAGAUCGACCAAACAUCAACCUUUAUCUUUUAACUCUUUGUCUGAAAAAUAUUAUGAAUAAACAAUUCAAAAUACAACUUUCAACAACGGAUCUCUUGGCUCUCGCAUCGAUGAAGAACGCAGCGAAAUGCGAUACGUAAUGUGAAUUGCAGAAUUCAGUGAAUCAUCGAAUCUUUGAACGCAUAUUGCGCUCUUUGGUAUUCCGAAGAGCAUGCUUGUUUGAGUAUCAGUAAACACCUCAAAGCUUUUGGAUUUUUUAAUCGAAAAGCUUUGGACUUGAGCAAUCCCAACACCAAUCUUUUUGAGAUCGGUGGCGGGUUGCUUGAAAUGCAGGUGCAGCUGGACAUUCUCCUGAGCUAAAAGCAUAUUCAUUUAGUCCCGUCAAACGGAUUAUUACUUUUGCUGCAGCUAACAUAAAGGGAGUUUGACCGUAUUGGCUGACUGAUGCAGGAUUUCACAAGGGUCGGCAACGAUUCUUGUUAAACUCGAUCUCAAAUCAAGUAAGACUACCCGCUGAACUUA
rnacentral:rRNA from 1 species